CGGCACGUACGAAUGAAGUGUACAUUCGGUUUCGGUUUUGGCAUCGGUUGUGACAUACUUAUAUUCUAAGAGCACUUUCGUUCCAAGCAAAGAUAAAAAUUACAGUUGAAUGGGUUGGGCGCAUGAAAACAUCAGCUUAGGUGUUGCGCGUGGCAUCGUACGUGACAGCCGCAACAAGGCACGAUGCAGGCCGAGCAGCCGAAGAGCGCAGGCAGUGUGGUGGUUGGGUCACGUUCACUCUGCUGGUGGCGUGGGCGCG
rnacentral:lncRNA from 1 species